AUCUCCCCUCUCUUCUCUUCCCUUUUUUUCUUUUCCCCCUCUCUUCUUUUUCUCUCUUCCUCCCUUUUUCUUUUCUCUCCCCCUCUUUCCUUCCCCAUUUUGCUGUGUGAUUGGCGGAGGUUCCGGGGUGCUCUUCGUUGAGUGUCCCGGUGCGCCGUCAGGUUUACUUUGAAAAAAUUAGAGUGCUCAAAGCAGGCUUUUCAGGCUUGAAUAUUCGUGCAUGGAAUAAUGGAAUAGGAACUCGUUCCUAUUUUGUUGGUUUUCGGGAAUCGAGUUAAUGAUUAAUAGGGACAAUUGGGGGCAUUAGUAUUCAAACGACAGAGGUGAAAUUCUUGGACCGUUUGAAGACUAACUACUGCGAAAGCAUUUGCCAAGAGUGUUUUCA
rnacentral:rRNA from 1 species